rnacentral:rRNA from 1 species
UACGAAGGGGGCUAGCGUUGCUCGGAAUCACUGGGCGUAACGCGCACGUAGGCGGCUUCUUAAGUCAGGGGUGAAAUCCUGGAGCUCAACUCCAGAACUGCCUUUGAUACUGGGAGGCUCGAGUCCGGGAGAGGUGAGUGGAACUGCGAGUGUAGAGGUGAAAUUCGUAGAUAUUCGCAAGAACACCAGUGGCGAAGGCGGCUCACUGGCCCGGUACUGACGCUGAGGUGCGAAAGCGUGGGGAGCAAACAGG